CCCACAUGUUCUCCAUAGGAGUCAGUUUGACUCUCCACCUGACAGAGUAACAACCUGUAUGUGUCCAUGAAGAAUCUACCAUACAUAUGUACAUACCCUGUGCCUACCUGGGACCUGAAUAAACGUCAUAAAACGAAUACCUGCCUACCAUGUCCUUACCGACACCCCCCAGUUGAUAGUCAAACUCCGAAAUCCUGAACCAGCCAUCUACCUCAUCCUUCACAUGGUCCUUCACAGUAACGUAAGUUUCGAGUCGUCUGAUCCGGGCAGGAGGCGCCAGGUUUUCCCCUGAGGGAGGCGAAGAGUCAAGGACUGAACCCUCCAAAUGCAGAAUAAUGUAAUUCCACACUCUGAAUAAAAAGGGUUCCCACAUGCA